rnacentral:misc_RNA from 1 species
GAUGAAGAACGUAGCGAAAUGCGAUAAGUAAUGUGUAUUGCAGAAUUCAGUGAAUCAUCGAAUCUUUGAACGCACAUUGCGCCCGUCAGUAUUCUGGCGGGCAUGCCUGUUCGAGCGUCAUUACGCCCCUCAAGUCCCCUGUGGACUUGGUGUUGGGGAUCGGCGAGGCUGGUUUUCCAGCACAGCCGUCCCUUAAAUUAAUUGGCGGUCUCGCCGUGGCCCUCCUCUGCGCAGUAGUAAAACACUCGCAACAGGAGCCCGGCGCGGUCCACUGCCGUAAAACCCCCCAACUUUUUAUAGUUGACCUCGAAUCAGGUAGGACUACCCGCUGAACUUAAGCAUAUCAAUAAGCGGAGGA